rnacentral:rRNA from 1 species
GUAGUCCACGCCCUAAACGAUGUCAACUAGUUGUUGGGGAGCAAUUCUCAGUAACGUAGCUAACGCGAGAAGUUGACCGCCUGGGGAGUACGGUCGCAAGAUUAAAACUCAAAGGAAUUGACGGGGACCCGCACAAGCGGUGGAUGAUGUGGAUUAAUUCGAUGCAACGCGAAAAACCUUACCUACCCUUGACAUGGAUGGAAGCUUGGAGAGAUCUGAGUGUGCCCGCAAGGGAGCCAUCACACAGGUGCUGCAUGGCUGUCGUCAGCUCGUGUCGUGAGAUGUUGGGUUAAGUCCCGCAACGAGCGCAACCCUUGUUCUUAGUUGCUACGAAAGGGCACUCUAAGGAGACUGCCGGUGACAAGCCGGA